GACGAACGCUGGCGGCGUGCUUAACACAUGCAAGUCGAACGAAGUGGCGAACGGGUGAGUAACGCGUAAUCAACCUGCCCUUCAGAGGGGGACAACAGUUGGAAACGACUGCUAAUACCGCAUACUGAUGGCGGGGUUUGCGUCUGAUUAGCUAGUUGGAGGGGUAACGGCCCACCAAGGCGAUGAUCAGUAGCAGGUCUGAGAAGGUGAACGGCCACAAUGGGACUGGGACAAGGCCAAGAAUCCUACGGGAGGGAGCAGUGGGGGAACUUCCGCAAAGGACGAAAGUCUGACGGAGCAAAGCCGCGGGGGUGAUGACGGCCUUCGGGUUGUAAAGCUCUGUUAAUCGGGACGCGGUACCGGAAUAGAAAGCCACGGCUAACUACGUGCCAGCCGCCGCGGUAAUUC
rnacentral:rRNA from 1 species